rnacentral:lncRNA from 1 species
UUGAAAUCGAGAAUUGGGAUUGCGGAUUAAAUUAAGAACUUGAUUGAAAUCAAUGGAUUUUUGGAAGAUGAUGAAGUCAAUGAGAGUCAAGCUUUUGUAUGAAAUGACAAUUCACGAGGAUGCUUUCUAAUCAGUACUAUCUCUACUCAUUAUUCACCGUUGAAUCCCCUUUUUUACUUUUCGAAAUAUUUGUAAUUCAUCUUUAAACAUUAAUUAAUUAAUUAAUAUUAUGUACUGAUGUUUCUAAAAAUAAAAAUUUAAAAAAAUCUUUAUUAUUACAUAUUCUUUACAAUUUUAUCAUUCAAAACAAAUAUAAUUUCUCAACUACUUUAGAUUUCAAAAUGCUUCAACCUUGUUUUUCAACUUUUUAAAAAUGUUAAUCACUGGAAUUGUUAUCAAUAGCCAGAAAAAAAAUUGAAAAAUUGAGAGUUUGAUGAAUUUUGUUGUAAUUUAUUAAAUUAAAAUCAUCAAGCAAUAAAAUCUAGUGGCCAAGAGGGUAAUUUUCUUCUUCUUAUUAUUAUUAUAUUUUUUAGAAAAAUUUGAAGUUCCGUACAAAAGAUUGUGGAAGAAUAAAAAUGGUGUGUAGCUUAAUUAACAUAUAGUUCUUAAUGUCACGGUUUGAAAUAAUAAAACAUAGAAAUUGCAACAUUUUAAGAUCAUUCAAAAUUUACUUUUUCCUUUCAUUUUUUUUAAUCCUGCCUUCAUUUUUCUAAAGUUAAAUAAUUAAUUUACAAGAAUCUUGGGUAAAUGUUUAUUUAUCUCAAAACUUCCAAAAAAUUUAAAUUGGAAAUUUAAACUUUUUUUUCUUUAAAGUUAGUUCUAAGGUGCAUUUUAAAUUAUAGUAAAAUUUCUUAUCCAAACACCCAAACACCAAAACACCAAAUUUUUGCUAUAUUUUGUAAUUAUUUUUUUUUAAUAUUUGAAUAGAUAUUAAGGGUGUGAAAAAACAUAAUAGAAUGGACUUUUCCAAGAAAAAUAAAUAAAAGUUUAAGUUGCCUUUUAUUUAUUUCUAAUUUUAGGAAAUUGGAAAAAAAAAAUCAAACAUGUUUAGUAAACUUUUCGGUUUCCAUUUUUUUUUUUUCAAAUAAAAGUGAAAUACGUUUAGAUUUACGUCUUUUUCUAGUAGUAGAAUUUCAAAUCAUUUCUAAAAAUAUAUAUAUAAUUUACUAUCUAGCAAUAAACAAACUACCGAGAAUUUUAUAUUUAUAAGAAAGUGUAGUGCUUAAAUCUGGCUGUAAUCUAAACAUUACCUUCUAUCUUCAUUUUUGAAUUUUGAAGAUUUCCUCUCCAAGAACUGUGACCCUAUUCCCCUCCAUGAAUUUUCAGGCCAAUAGGGUUGAUUCAACUGGGAAAUGCAUUCUCCGUAAAGUUAAACCCAUAUUUUUACACUAUAUCAACGGUGCCAGUAGCAAAUACAGAUCUUUUCAAGAACAAAAUAUUCCAAUGGGCUAAUACUU